AACACAUUUAAAAAUUAAUAAUCAUAUUUUGAAUAAAUUGAAUGCAUUAGAAAAUGGAAUAAUUUCGAUGACGGAAUAUUUACAGACAGCGAUAACACCCCCUAUGCAAAAACUAAUUGUAUUUAUGUUGAAUGAACCUCAGUAUCUUGGUGACAGUUUUAAAAAUUUAGUUAUCCCAGAUGAUAGAAUUCAUGACUAAUGAUGUUCAUCGGUUAAGUAUUCAAAGGCAUUUUCAUUCAGUGUUAAAUCGUCUCAGUAAUUCCUGACAUAGUUAUUUUACCUUCUACAGACGAGUAUCUGGUGUAAAAGAAUCAAAAUGCUCUUCAAUAUAAAUGAAGCCAAUUGAAUCAAUUUUUCAUCUUCUUCCUUGUUAGUUUUUCUAGGCCUCUUAUUUUUUUUUCGUUGAUCAACCAACCCGGAUUCUCCAUUUUCUUCAAAUAAUUUCAUCCAUUUUCUGAUUGUGCUUAUAGAACACCCAGUUUCUUCAUGAAUUCUUUGUUUAGUAUUUUGUAAACGUGCGUUUUGAUUUUACGAUUUGAAAAUCGAGCGCAAAGUCUAACUGAUUCUACGGCCAUCUAUUAGAAUAAUUUGUAUAUUAAUUAACACUUCCUUAGUCACUUGGGGGCCAUGUUAGAGGCCACCUAGAUCGAAUUCGAACUUAGACGACAGUGGGGUAGUUCUACCCCUCUAAAAAUUAAGAUAUAAAAGGGCCAGCAAACACUUGCUCGAAGACUGAGGCCCUGGCCAUCAUCUAGAGUGGACUGAGGACGCUUAGCGAGGUCCCACUCUAGCACCAGGACUCAUAACAAUUUAUUUGAGUCGGCCUAACGAUGUCCAGUCUAUUAGUUUGUUAUAUCUAGUCAUUGAGUCCAACAUUCGAAUUCAAGCGACACUCAAGUUCAAGGAUCGACUGAACAUGGAUUCAAGUUCAAGCGCUGGAACCUACCGCCACGACUAAGAGUGUUCAUUGUUUAAAAUUAAAUUAAUUCUUGUGAAUAAUUAUUUCUAUAAACUGGUUCACAAAACCAAAUUUUGUGAAGUUUUCGUCUGAGUGAUUCGCCAAGUGUCCAGCCCGUCAGCAGCCCAGGAACCUGACCAGAAUCUACGCUGAAGAUCCACCAUGCAGCGACGCCCGAUACCAUCAAGACUCGUGCUAAAGAAAGAAGAUUGGUAGAAGCAACAACAAAUGAUCUGGAGACAAUUUUUGACUCUGAAUGUUGGGGAGAGACGAUUGGCAGAGACAACAGGAUCGAGCAGAACAAAAACUUCCAAUGAUUGUUUUCACAGAUUUUGUGAAUUGUAUCACACUUUUAAGUUCCACAAAAAUGCAUCCAGAAGUGGUGAAAGGGAAAAAACGUAAAGAUUUGAAUAUUAUGAAAUAUUCAAUAAUUACUAUCAUGUCGUUAAUUAAAGGUACGAACAAAUUUUUUGGGCCUUGAUGCGAAGAGGUUCAUUAAGUCCAUAAACUCCAAAAAAUACAUUACUUACAUUAUGAAUUACUUACUAUUAAACAAACAAAAAGUUCUCUUGGAUCCGAUUUUUUUAUGCUGCCUAUUUGUUUAUACGGGUGUUGGUCAAUAGACUACUACGUUAAAAAAGCAAAAAGUGUGCUAUGUGUCGUUAAGUUUAUAAUAAAUUUAUAUGAGUGUCCGACCGUUGGAGAAAACUGGGAAACUUUUGUCUAUCAUUAUGAUGAUAAGCUUGUAAAUGCUAUCAAAAAAGUUCUACCAUCGGUUCUCAUUCGAGGAUCAUGGUUUCAUUUUAUCAAGUUGUUAUCACGAAAAUGGCUAAGUCUUGGUCUAUCAAAAGAUUUUAAUCAUGAAGUAUCCAAAAUAAGUUGGAUAUUGAAGAUUUUGCCGGAAGAGAAAAUUGAUGAAGCCAUAAAAAUAAUUAUAGUUGAAGCAAAUAACGACGCUGAAAACUUUGAAAAUUUAAUUUUAUAUGCUAGAUUUAUCGAAAUGUGCUCAGAAUUAAUUAAAUGUGAAACGUUCAUUAAUAAUAACAGAGACAAUGCAAUUAAUAAAGCUGAAUGGCACAGCAUUUGUAUGCUUAGAAAUCUUGGCUGUAAUCAAUCAAUACAUGAAUUUCUUCAAUUGAUUAAAAAAAAUUUAAACAAGUGUGAAAAGCAGUGGAAUGACAUUGAAGACUUAAAAAAAAAAGAGGGGAAAUAAAAAUAACAUCAACAAUUGUGAAAAAGCUAAUAAAAUUUAAAAGUAAAAAACAAACUAUUGUAAACUUCACGAGAGAAGUUAUGACAUCUUACUUUAUGAAUUUAAUAAUACUCCAAUUACAGUGGCCACAGUAUCGUAACGACGUGGGGAAAUUAAAUGGAUUUCCGAAUCAUAUACAUUACUUAUCAUUAAAUGAAGAAAUGAAUAAUGAUAUCUUCGAUCCGAUUUGUUUAUACUGUCGAUCCAAAAAAGCAAUAGUUCAAAUAGCCGAUAAGUGUGAACAUUUCGUAGGAUGCUACGGGUGUUGGUUCACGGACUACUACGUUAAGAAAAACAAAAAGUGUGCUAUGUGUCGUCAAGCUUAUAAUAAAUUUAUAAUUGUUUCAUAAUAACGUAUG